UGGCUUCUCCUGUGUACCUGUGUCACUGUCUGCUUGCCUGUUGCCUGCCUGUUGCUCCAGCCUGUACUGUGCUUGUGCCUGCUACAUUGCCUGCCUGCCUGCCUGUGCUCUUGACUGACAAUCACCUGUUCCUGCCGUUUUUCCACCAGAUUUUAGAACCUAUUGCACGGACUUCAUCUGAUUCAACAACAGGAGGCGGGUUUCCAUCGAACCUCAAAUUGUGCAGAAUUGAAAUCGCGAAUAUGAAUGUUUAUUUCAGAGGAGGAAGGUCUCUGUCACUCAUCUUUCUC